AUUGAACGCUGGCGGCAUGCCUUACACAUGCAAGUCGAACGGCAGCACGGGUGCUUGCACCUGGUGGCGAGUGGCGAACGGGUGAGUAAUACAUCGGAACAUGUCCUGUAGUGGGGGUAGCCCGGCGGAAGCCGGAAUUAUAACGCAUACGGAUCACGGGUUGAAGCGGGGGACCUUCCGGCCCCCCGCCAUAGGGGUUGGCGAUGGCUGAUUAGCUAGUUGGUGGGGUAAAGGCCUACCAAGGCGACGAUCAGUAGCUGGUCUGAGAGGACGACCAGCCACACUGGGACUGAGACACGGCCCAGACUCCUACGGGAGGCAGCAGUGGGGAAUUUUGGACAAUGGGCGAAAGCCUGAUCCAGCAAUGCCGCGUGUGUGAAGAAGGCCUUCGGGUUGUAAAGCACUUUUGUCCGGAAAGAAAUCCUUGGCCCUAAUACGGUCGGGGGAUGACGGUACCGGAAGAAUAAGCACCGGCUAACUACGUG
rnacentral:rRNA from 1 species